GAUGAACGCUGGCGGCGUGCUUAACACAUGCAAGUCGAACGAAGCACCUUGAUUUGAUUCUUCGGAUGAAGAUCUUGGUGACUGAGUGGCGACGGGUGAGUAACGCGUGGGUAACCUGCCUCAUACAGGGGGAUAACAGUUAGAAAUCACUGCUAAUACCGCAUAAGCUGUGAGUAUCGCAUGAUACAAGCAGAAAAGGAGCAAUCCGCUGAUAGAUGGGCUUGCGUCUGAUUAGUUAGUUGGUAGGGUAACGGCCUACCAAGACGAUGAUCAGUAGCCGGACUGAGAGGUUGAACGGCCACAUUGGGACUGAGAUACGGCCCAG
rnacentral:rRNA from 1 species